rnacentral:rRNA from 1 species
UAAUGUCUGGGAAACUGCCUGAUGGAGGGGGAUAACGUACUGGAAACGGUAGCUAAUACCGCAUAAUGUCGCAAGACCAAAGUGGGGGACCUUCGGGCCUCAUGCCAUCAGAUGUGCCCAGAUGGGAUUAGCUAGUAGGUGGGGUAACGGCUCACCUAGGCGACGAUCCCUAGCUGGUCUGAGAGGAUGACCAGCCACACUGGAACUGAGACACGGUCCAG